rnacentral:sRNA from 1 species
CAUCUUAUUGCAUUGAUUGUGCGUUCUCGAUUUUACAGAGAGUGCUUGUGAUUUCACGUAUUUUUGCUGAACUCGUAAAAGAGACACUUGGAUGGUGGAUUAACCAGAACACUAACAUUCUUUGAAAAGUUUCAAAUUGGAGAAUAUUGAAUUUUCACCCUAGUCCAGCAGCUCCGCUGCUCACUUAAAUACAGAUGAAUGAAGACCCCAUUCGGAAAGACACCUGGCCAGCGGUCCAGAGCUGAUGCAGGCCAUGCUGGAGUAUCUGCCAACAUGAUGAAGAAGAGGACAUCCCACAAAAAACAUCGGAGCAGUGUGGGUCCGAGCAAACCUGUUUCCCAGCCCCGGCGGAACAUCGUAGGCUGCAGGAUUCAGCAUGGGUGGAAAGAGGGGAAUGGCCCUGUUACCCAGUGGAAAGGAACCGUUCUGGACCAGGUGCCUGUAAAUCCUUCUUUGUAUCUUAUAAAAUACGAUGGAUUUGACUGUGUUUAUGGACUAGAACUUAAUAAAGAUGAAAGAGUUUCUGCGCUUGAAGUCCUCCCUGAUAGAGUUGCAACAUCUCGAAUCAGCGAUGCACACUUGGCAGACACAAUGAUUGGCAAAGCAGUGGAACAUAUGUUUGAGACAGAGGAUGGUUCUAAAGAUGAGUGGAGGGGAAU